UGUCCAAGACCUUGCAAGACUGAAACUUCAACUCCUAAUAACUUUGGAGUUGGUAAUUUUGCUCCAAUAAAAAACUAGUUGAUCCAAAAUUUUUUUGAUAGACCCCCCCCCUUGUAUUUUAACAGUAUGAAAAUUUUUGAAAAAAUUCAAGUAGGAUCGCAGCUUUUUCGAGUUUUUGCGUAAAAUUAGUCUUUGCGAGUGUUAUUAAUUUUGAUUUGAAUUAGAUUCAUCAAACUUUGAGGAAUGAAGACCUGACCUGCUAUCAGAAUUUCAAAAUAUUCAUAAAAUACAAUUUUCAGUUUUGUUCACUUGCCUAUAAACAUGCUAGGUUCACUAUUCAGUUGACAAUUUGACAUGUUUGUUUAUACAUGUAAAAUAUAUAUAACCCUCAAAUACGAUAUUCAACUACCUAACUAGUAACUACAUCAUCUUUCAGAUAAAACAAAUCAAAAAGCUAAAUAUUUUUUAUUAGGUAAUCAUUAUUUUUUUAUAGAACUGAAUUUUACGCGUAUAUGUACACCACUUGAAAUUUCAUUAAUUUAUUUGAAACUGUUUCGUUCAUGUUUAUGCUGAAUUAAAAAGCCUUUUAUUUUAUUAGUUUUUAAUACCUAACAACUUUCAGAAAACCGUCAAAUAAAUAACCCUCAAGUGCCUACCUAGAAGAGUCAAAGUCAAAAAUAAAAUGUCAAAAUAAUUCCACUCCACUGCUAUAAUUGUAAUGCCGAACUUGCCGAAGCCGAACGCCUGAAGAAAAAUUUGUCAUCAACCCAAUACCACCUAUAGUAAAAGGCCUGAGCGCUGAAUCCUUAUCAGCUCUGACGUCACCACAAGUAGAUGACUCGAUUGUGUUUACCAUUUGAAUUUUAACGUAUGUUUAAAUGGCGAAUUCGUGAAAUUGAGUAAAACUUUCGUUAAAAAAGUUAAUUAAAUUAUGAAAUUCAAUUAAUAUUUGUCAUAAAAUGUGUUCUAGUAAUGUGGUACUGAUGUUUUCAAUUACAGAUGGUGUUGGUUUAUUUGAUUUGUGUACAAAAAUGAAUUUUUUGCGACUCGUUUGUGUUGUGUAAUUUGAAUGAAUAGUGAUGUAAACUGUAGAUUAAAAUGAAAAUUAAUGUGUACUAGUGUGUUGUACCGGAAUGAUGUUGUAAUGAAAUAAGUAGUUAGUGAACAAUGCAAUCGCAUCAAGUUGGAGAAAAAUCUACAAUACAUUUUAAUUUUCAAAUCUACUUCUUAGACCAGCCAUGCUAAAGCUGCUAUGAUGGAUAAUGGAUAUUAAACUAGAAAUCAUCAGUAUCUCAAACCAAUUGAAGCAGCUUUAAAUUCCAAAAUACUUAGGAUGGAUUUCAACAGGCAUAAAUACAAUGUUUGCAAAGAAUUUCGAGAGAAAUCUCCGUCAUGUAUGCAAUGUUUGGUGAUCGUUUCGUAUACCUUAGUCUUUGAGUUGGAGAUUAUGUUCGCGUAUAUUCGGUAAUAUUUACAAUAAUUUGUAUGUGUUGUACUUCUUUGCUAUAUUCCUCAUUGUCAGCUGUCAUCCUCCAGAGUUUUUCUUGAUAUUCUUUUAGAAAUUAGAUCAUAAACGAGUGUAGUUCUCAUCUUUAAUGAUAAAAACAGUGUUGAUUAUGAGCUUAUAUUUACUUAUUUUUCCAUUCAAAUCAUUCCCUCUUGAUCUCAAAUUGAUUAUUAAGUAUCAGAAUGUGAUUCAAAACGCAAAAUAAAAUGUUCUCAGUAUUUAUUUCGUUCUAGUGCAUUAAUAUUUCAUUCAUUUCUAUAGUGUUAUCGGAGUACAUACUAUCUAUUAGUGAUGACGUCACAAAACAGCGCUCAGGCCUUUUACUAUAGGUGGUAUUGAUCAACCUCUUUAACGUGGACAGUGUCUUCAACAAUUAUUUAUCAGUUCCCCAGAGCGCGCUAGCGUCGCAGUACGUGAUUGGCUAGUGAUCUGUGCUGUUCCAUAGUUCCUUGUUUACUUUUCAAAACUGAACUUUUUUUUAUCACGAAUCCGAAUAAUUUUGGCUAAAAUUUUGGCCUUUCUGAUUCCGAAUAAUUUUACUGUUAGUUGUUUCAUUAAUUUCGCGAUAUUACUGUGAAUUUUGUAACAUAUUGAAAGACGUGUAUCGUGAUGAUCGAAUAUUGAUCAAGAGAAAGUAUGGUUCUGAAAAUAAUUAACGAAUUUCCUUCCACAAAUUUCCGAAUAUGUACUCCCAAUCGUCAACAACAAUGGAAAUAUCGCCUGGGCAGUGAGGACUGUGGAUAAACAAAUCAAGAAGUCAGAUUUAUUAUGCUGUUUAUGCUGGGAAGUGGGAACAUUUCUCACCUUCAAGCCUCAUUAUUGG